CCUACGGGUGGCAGCAGUGAGGAAUAUUGGUCAAUGGCCGUAAGGCUGAACCAGCCAAGUCGCGUGAGGGAAGACUGCCCUAUGGGUUGUAAACCUCUUUUGUCCGGGGACAAAGUCGUCCACGUGUGGCUGUCCGCAGGUACCUCAAGAAUAAGGACCGGCUAACUCCGUGCCAGCAGCCGCGGUAAUACGGAAGGUCCGGGCGUUAUCCGGAUUUAUUGGGUUUAAAGGGUGCGUCGGCCGGGCUUUCAGCCUGCCGUAAAAUGUUGUGGCUCAACCAUGGCAGUGCGGCGCGAACUGGAGACCUUGAGUGCGCGGAAGGCAGGCGGAAUUCGUGGGGUAGCGGUGAAAUGCUUAGAUAUCACGCAGAACCCCGAUUGCGAAGGCAGCCUGCCGCAGCGCGACUGACGCUGAAGCUCGAAAGCGCGGGUAUCGAACAGGAUUAGAUACCCUUGUAGUC
rnacentral:rRNA from 1 species